UACGUAGGGCGCAAGCGUUGUCCGGAAUUAUUGGGCGUAAAGAGCUCGUAGGCGGUCUGUCGCGUCCGUUGUGAAAACUCAGGGCUUAACCCUGAGCCUGCAGUGGGUACGGGCAGACUAGAGUGUGGUAGGGGAGAUCGGAAUUCCUGGUGUAGCGGUGGAAUGCGCAGAUAUCAGGAGGAACACCGGUGGCGAAGGCGGAUCUCUGGGCCAUAACUGACGCUGAGGAGCGAAAGCAUGGGGAGCGAACAGG
rnacentral:rRNA from 1 species